CAUCCAGAAUGAAAGUGGAAAUGCUGUGUCGCUUGAAGAGUCAAGUAGGCACUAUAAAGGGAGAGUAUGUUUUGGUUACUUGGUGUAUGGGUCCACUAACUCACUGGGUGUGCACGGACUAACAGUGAUUUGUGAUUAUUUUUGUGUACUGAGCUGUGAGUCAAGUCAACAAUGCUGUUCAACUGAAAUGUACUCUUGAAAAAUGUGCUUUUGAUUUUGUUUGGCUGGGAAUGGUAAGUUGUUUAGUGUGGUUUUACUCCUUGUGACAAUGUUAAAGUGGGACGAUAUGUACAUAACAGAGUAAGACUUAAAUUCAGUCUAAGGCACUUUUAACAAUGUCGUCAUGUUUUGUCAUGCAAGCAAGCUAAUGUUUGUAACAGUGGCAAUGUGCUUGUUGCAGGCUUUUCACUGGUACAGCUUCAGUGGCUUGUGUUGGUCGACUGCAGCUACAGUUUUUCUUUUUGCCUGUUUAGGUCUUAUUUGUCCCGAUGCUGCGCAGGCAUGGGAAGUUUUCAUAGAUCUGAUGUUGGACAGAAGUCGCUGCAGUCAAGUGUUGUCGGUAGACUUGCGACGGUCUGGAGUUGUUUGGCUUGUUGUAGUUAAGGACGGAACUUUGAAAGCUGAAGUGUGCAGGAUUUUGAGGGAGGAAUUCAUAGUAUUGAUCAUUCCCCCCCCACCCCCUUUCUUCCUUAUGGUGGAGGAGAUGGCAGAUUGGGUGAGAGGCACCAAGAUGAGCUGGACCCGGGUAAUAAGACAAAUGAAUGACCAGCACACAACGAAGAGCUUUCUCCUCCCCCUACCGUGGAUGAGUUAGAAUUGCACAAAAACCCAGGAUGGGACGAGAGGCGUGAAGAGCCACUGGACGAGGGUAAUGAGUACAGACGCGUACAAACAGGUGAGACCCAGCAAACAAGUAAUUGUAUUGUACGUGUUGUUGCACGUGACCUGGAUAAUUGUUGGGCAAAGAGACAAGCAAGUGACUGCACACUACGGCAGGCUUGUUUUUGUUGUUGGAGGCCGAAGAGACAUUUGGUGAAGGGGAGAACCAGAACGGGGUAAUAAGUGCAAAUGUGCAGAAAUAAAGGUGACCUGCUACAGACUAAUGGUGUGUGCUUGUUUUGUAGACUGGAAGAGGAGCUGGAGGAAAGAAGGUAGGGUUUGCGAAGGACCGGUGAUGAUGAUGAUCCGCAGUUUGUUUGGCUUGUUUUGGUCCGGAGCAGCUGUUUGUUUUGCGUCGACGCGGACAGUGUAGGCUUUGAAUAACUUAUCAAGUUGAUCAAAACAAAAGUGAAUAUUUGUAUUUCCCCCCCCCCCCCAGGGUGAAGACCAACAAUUGUACAUAACCGGCACAAAGUUCCAACAUGAACAGCUUUUAGAAGUUUGCAAAUAAUCAAUUCCAACGUCACUUCUGAUAGCCCUCGCAGCGGGUGGAGUCACCGCACCCUUCGGAUGGAUCGGGUGAGAGGCGCAAAGAUGAAUUGGACCAGGGUAAUAAGGACAUGCACAGACAAUAAACGACCAUCACAACUAAUAGCCCCCCCCUGUGGAUGAGUUUGAAUUGCACAAAAACCCAGUAUUGGCAUCAAGAUUGAAGGGGCGAUAUGGAAGCGCAUGGAGCUCAUUCUGAAGGAAAUUGGAGGUUGGAGGAGAAUGAGACGUUUGGGUGAGGAGGCGAGAGAGAACCAGAAUUGGAGCGGAAGGGCAGCUGGAUGAAAGAAGAGCUCGGAAAGGACGCGGAAUGGGAUGAGGAAAAGGAAGAAUUCCACACCGAGAAUAAAGCGGCAGGCAGAUAAGCUGUUUGUUCAUUUAUUUGCACGGCAAAUGUAAAGAGUAAACGGGAGGGGGCAGAGUACGGAGAUUUGAGGUUUGCCUUGGUUGACAGUUGCUACGGAAGGUAGUUUGGCGGUAGGUCUGAUUGUCAUGACGGCAGGCAGGGAAAGCGUCGGGAGAGUUGAUAGUCGGACGUGGCGGUUUGGUUCAGUGGUCUUUGCGAAGGAAGGACGGUCCGCAGGUUGUCAGGCUUAGUCUCUGUCCCGAGCAGCUCUUUGUUUUGGGUUGAUGUGUACAGUGCUGACUUUGGAUGACCUAUCAAGUAGAUCGAAACAAAAGUGAAUAUAUAUAUAUAUCAAUUUUUUUGUUGUUGUUGUUUUUUUCAGGGUGAAGAGCAACAAUUGUACACAACCGCCACGAAGUUCCAACAUGAACAGCUUCUUCUCCCUUGAGGCAAGUUUGCAAAUCAAUUGCAACGUUACUUCUGAUCGCCCUUGCAGCGGAUGGAGUCACCGCACGCUUCGGGUGGAGUCGAUGGCGGAUUGGGUGAGAGGUGCCAAGAUGAAUUGGACCAGGGUAAUCAGGACAUGCACAGACAAACGACCAUCACAACUCAUAGCCCCCCCGUGGUUGAGUUUGAAUUGCCCAAAAACCCAGAAAAAAAGAAUUGGCAUCAAGAUCGAAGGGAUGAACUGCGAUGUGGAAACGCAUGCAGCUCGUUGUGAAGGAAAUAAGAGAAUGGAAGGGGAGCUGGAUGAAAGAGAAGAGCUCGGAAGGACGUGGAAUGGGAUGAGGAAAAGGAAGAAUUCCACACCAAGAAUAAAGCGGCACACAGAUAAGUUGUUAAUUUAUUUGCAGGGCGGAUGUAAAUAGGAGGGGUCAGAGGACGGAGCUUUGAGGUUUGACUUGGUUGACAGUUGCUACGGAAGGUAGUUUGGCGGUCGGUCUGAUUGUAAGGAGGGCAGGCGCGGAAAGUGUCGGUAGAGUUGAUAGUCGGACGUGGUGAUUUGGUUCAGUGGUCUUUGCGAAGGAAGGAAGGUUGAGACGGUCUGCAGGUUGGUUGGCUUGUUUUGGUCCUGAGCAGCGCUUUGUUUUGAGUUGUACAGUGCAGGCUUUGAAUGAGGAAUUGAUCUUGAUGAACACAAAACUAAAUAUUUGUAUUUUAUUCAGGGUGAAGACCAACAAUUGUACACAACCGGCACGCAGUUGAACAGCUUCUUCUCCCUUGAGGCAAGUCAUGAGCAUCAUCAAUGACGACACAUUUGAAGGUG